rnacentral:rRNA from 1 species
CAGCAGCCACGGGAAUACGAAGGGUGCAAGCGUUAAUCGGAAUUACUGGGCGUAAAGCGUGCGUAGGCGGUUUGUUAAGUCUGCUGUGAAAUCCCCGGGCUCAACCUGGGAAUGGCAGUGGAUACUGGCAAGCUAGAGUGUGUCAGAGGAUGGUGGAAUUCCCGGUGUAGCGGUGAAAUGCGUAGAGAUCGGGAGGAACAUCAGUGGCGAAGGCGGCCAUCUGGGACAACACCGGCGCUGAGGCACGAAAGCGUGGGGAGCAAACAGGAUUAGAUACCCCCGUAGUCCCUGUCUCUUAUAA